CGACCGGCAAACGGGUGCGGAACACGUACACAACCUUCCUUUAAGUGGGGGAUAGCCCAGAGAAAUUUGGAUUAAUACCCCGUAAGAUUAUAGAGUGGCAUCACUUAAUAAUUAAAGCUCCGGCGCUUGGAGAUGGGUGUGCGUCUGAUUAGGUAGUUGGUAGGGGUAACGGCCCACCAAGCCUACGAUCAGUAACUGGUGUGAGAGCACGACCAGUCACACGGGCACUGAGACACGGGCCCG
rnacentral:rRNA from 1 species